rnacentral:rRNA from 1 species
CCAGGAGGUUGGCUUAGAAGCAGCCAUCCUUUAAAGAUAGCGUAACAGCUCACUGGUCUAAAUAAGCUGUCUUGCGGCGAAGAUGUAACGGGGCUCAAGCCAUGAGCCGAAGCUGAGGACAUCGUAAGAUGUGGUAGCGGAGCGUAGUGUGACAUAGAUUCUAUCCUCUUUAGUCGUCUUUGACGGCCUUGGAGGAUUGAGAAUCUUUCUGUGAAGCCGGGCUGUAAGGCAUCCGGUGGAGAGAUCACUAGUGAGAAUGAUGACAUGAGUAGCGACAAAGAGUGUGAGAGACACUCUCGCCGAAAGUCCAAGGGUUCCUGCUUAAAGCUAAUCUGAGCAGGGUAAGCCGACCCCUAAGUCGAGGCCGAAAGGCGUAGACGAUGGGAACCAGGUUAAUAUUCCUGGGCCAGGAAGAUGUGACGGAUCGUGAAGGUUGUUCACCCUUAUUGGAUUGGGUGGGCCGCUAAUCGGUUCCUGGAAAUAGCCUUCCAUCAGAUCGUACCCUAAACCGACACAGGUGGACUGGUAGAGAAUACCAAGGCGCUUGAGAGAACUAUGUUGAAGGAACUCGGCAAAAUACCUCCGUAAGUUCGCGAGAAGGAGGCCCAGUUUCUACGCAAGUAUUGACUGGGGGCACAAACUAGGGGGUGGCGACUGUUUACUAAAAACACAGGGCUCUGCGAAGUCGCAAGACGACGUAUAGGGUCUGACGCCUGCCCGGUGCUGGAAGGUUAAGAGGAGAGGUGCAAGCCUUGAAUCGAAGCCCCAGUAAACGGCGGCCGUAACUAUAACGGUCCUAAGGUAGCGAAAUUCCUUGUCGGGUAAGUUCCGACCUGCACGAAUGGCGUAACGACUUCCCCGCUGUCUCCAACAUAGACUCAGCGAAAUUGAAUUGCCUGUCAAGAUGCAGGCUUCCCGCGGUUAGACGGAAAGACCCCGUGCACCUUCACUACAGCUUCGCACUGGCAUCAGGCACAACAUGUGCAGGAUAGGUGGUGGGCUUUGAAGCAGUAACGCCAGUUAUUGUGGAGCCUCCCUUGAGAUACCACCCUUGUUCUGCUUGAUGUCUAACUGCGGUCCAUUUCCUGUAUCGAGGACCCUGCGUGGUGGGUAGUUUGACUGGGGCGGUCGCCUCCUAAAGAGUAACGGAGGCGCGCGAAGGU